rnacentral:rRNA from 1 species
UGCUACAGGCUUAACACAUGCAAGUCGAGGGGCAUCGGGAAGAAAGCUUGCUUUCUUUGCCGGCGACCGGCGCACGGGUGAGUAACACGUAUCCAACCUGCCCUUUACUCGGGGAUAGCCUUUCGAAAGAAAGAUUAAUACCCGAUAGUAUAAUGAUUCCGCAUGGUUUCAUUAUUAAAGGAUUCCGGUAAAGGAUGGGGAUGCGUUCCAUUAGGUUGUUGGUGAGGUAACGGCUCACCAAGCCUUCGAUGGAUAGGGGUUCUGAGAGGAAGGUCCCCCACAUUGGAACUGAGACACGGUCCAAACUCCUACGGGAGGCAGCAGUGAGGAAUAUUGGUCAAUGGGCGCUAGCCUGAACCAGCCAAGUAGCGUGAAGGAUGAAGGCUCUAUGGGUCGUAAACUUCUUUUAUAUAAGAAUAAAGUGCAGUAUGUAUACUGUUUUGUAUGUAUUAUAUGAAUAAGGAUCGGCUAACUCCGUGCCAGCAGCCGCGGUAAUACGGAGGAUCCGAGCGUUAUCCGGAUUUAUUGGGUUUAAAGGGAGCGUAGGUGGACUGGUAAGUCAGUUGUGAAAGUUUGCGGCUCAACCGUAAAAUUGCAGUUGAUACUGUCAGUCUUGAGUACAGUAGAGGUGGGCGGAAUUCGUGGUGUAGCGGUGAAAUGCUUAGAUAUCACGAAGAACUCCGAUUGCGAAGGCAGCUCACUGGACUGCAACUGACACUGAUGCUCGAAAGUGUGGGUAUCAAACAGGAUUAGAUACCCUGGUAGUCCACACAGUAAACGAUGAAUACUCGCUGUUUGCG